UGCGACCGCGUCACGCGGCCCGUGGGUCACGUGGCGAGCCGCCCCGCCCACACCCCAGCGAGGGGGCGGGGCCGCGGCUGAGGGGUCGGGACGGGGCUCGGGGCGGAUCCGGCCCGCGAUUUCAAAAUUCCUUCCCAGCUGAGCCGUGCUGGGACUCUUAGCUCGAGUACGGUGUCAGAUUUGUGCUGUCGGAGCACACACUCCUGGAGGGGACCGGGGGUCCUUCCUGGACCCACAGGAUCAAAGUGACAGAGAGGGACUGAGAAGACAUCCACAGUCCAGCUAUCUCCAAAGGUAGCAACAGCAAAAGAGGAGAACACUUCUGUGGUUCCAUCAACAGGAGCAAGCGUAAAGAAACAUUUUUUUCUAUGAAAGGUUUGAUGAGAGUUAAUAUUGAAGUCAUUUUAUGGUUAUAUAGUCGAGCAUGUCAUUUAUAAUAGAGUAUGGAGUUUUAUGGGGUCUGCAGACAUAUAAAAAGAGGCACCGACAUUAUAAUCUAUAUAUAUUAUAUAUAGGAAGACCAGCCAGAUCCUGAAAUGACUGAUCUUUAAUUCCUACAAAUUGAAAAUUCUCAUUAAUUGCAUCCUUAAAACUGGAUUUAUCUUCACCCAAAAAUAGUGACCUUUUUUUCUCUGUUUGACUAGAGAAGCUCUUUUAUACUAUAUUGAGGAAAAGCAGUGUAAGGAGGACAUCUUUGUGCUGUCUUACAGAUUACAUUUUUUUAGAAAUAUGUUUUACAGUUCAUUAAAUGUUUGUUGCUUGAAUGGAUAUGUACAUAGUAGCACAUUAGCAUUACUUAUAGCAAUAUAUAUAACUUAGCAACAGAAAAAAAGGCAACUUAUUUGGCCUUUACCAAAGACAAACUCUGUUGCCAUUAGCAUUGGGGCUUUCAGCUGCGAUUCCUAGUGGGAAGCUGUCUGACUGACCUGACUGUACUUGCGGAACACCGAGGUAAAAUUGGGCUAACUGGAGCCUUUGUGGCCGUGCUGUGGCAGCGGGGAGCGACCGGGUGGUGGCCGGGAAUGGCACGUCUGGGUGGGAAGAUGAGGUUUGCAGUACCGGGGGUCUCUGAGCAUCCCUUGGAAGUGGCUGCCUGCCUUUAAGGCAAAGUGAUCCGCAGCCACGCUUGGCUUGUCCAGGAGGUGGUAGUGGUGCUGCGCAAGACGUCUACAUCGCCAGCCGUGUUUAACUGGCUACUCGGGAAAACAGCUCUGCUACAGAUCCACAAUUCCACCUUUUUUUACAGUCUGCUGCGUGAUUUUUAUGGCUAAAUAAUAGGAACAUAUAUAGGUAGUUGUUUUUGAAGGUAACUUGGACUAUACAGCCCUUUGAAACAUGGAUGUGCUUUGGUGAAUAAAUACAUUUUAAAUCUGCAACAU